GAUGAACGCUAGCGGCAGGCUUAACACAUGCAAGUCGAGGGGUAUGCUUCUUCGGAAGCAGAGACCGGCGCACGGGUGCGUAACGCGUAUGCAAUCUACCUUUUACAGAGGGAUAGCCCAGAGAAAUUUGGAUUAAUACCUCAUAGUAUUAUAGAAUGGCAUCAUUUUAUAAUUAAAGUCACAACGGUAAAAGAUGAGCAUGCGUCCCAUUAGCUAGNGGUAAGGUAACGGCUUACCAAGGCUACGAUGGGUAGGGGUCCUGAGAGGGAGAUCCCCCACACUGGUACUGAGACACGGACCAGACUCCUACGGGAGGGCAGCAGUGAGGAAUAUUGGACAAUGGGCGCAAGCCUGAUCCAGCCAUGCCGCGUGCAGGAUGACGGUCCUAUGGAUUUGUAAACUGUCUUUUUAUACGAGAAGAAACNCUCCUUCGUGAAGGNGCUUGACGGUAUCGUAAGAAUAAGGAUCGGCUAACU
rnacentral:rRNA from 1 species